rnacentral:rRNA from 1 species
GACGAACGCUGGCGGCGUGCUUAACACAUGCAAGUCGAACGGCAAGGCCCUUCGGGGUACACGAGUGGCGAACGGGUGAGUAACACGUGGGUGAUCUGCCCUGCACUUCGGGAUAAGCCUGGGAAACUAGGUCUAAUACCGGAUAGGACCCUGGGAUGCAUGUCCUGGGGUGGAAAGCUUUUGCGGUGUGGGAUGGGCCCGCGGCCUAUCAGCUUGUUGGUGGGGUGAUGGCCUACCAAGGCGACGACGGGUAGCCGGCCUGAGAGGGUGACCGGCCACACUGGGACUGAGAUACGGCCCAGACUCCUACGGGAGGCAGCAGUGGGGAAUAUUGCACAAUGGGCGCAAGCCUGAUGCAGCGACGCCGCGUGAGGGAUGACGGCCUUCGGGUUGUAAACCUCUUUCAGCGCCGACGAAGCGCAAGUGACGGUAGGUGCAGAAGAAGGACCGGCCAACUACGUGCCAGCAGCCGCGGUAA